rnacentral:lncRNA from 1 species
UUCUUUUGUUUAUUCUUUCCCCCAUCCCUAGCAUGCUUUCUUUUGCUGUUGUUUUUGUCUCUGUUGCAGGUGUGUUAGGUGUGGGUGGUGCACGUGAUGGCCAAGGGCAGAGGUAGCAUGGGGCGACUGAAUCUUGGGGACAGAGGGAGGAGCGGCUAGUUUUUUUCUUUUUUGUUUGCUGAAAAUUAGUUAAGGUUGUGGGCUGAUUGGGCUUUUAGGGUUUUAAUUUUUUUUGGGCUGUAAUUGGGUUGAAUAGGUUUGGGUUUUGGGUCAUGGACUAUUAAUUAUUUUUAUCUUAGUUUAUGGUUUAUGGGCCCUGGGCAAAAUUUGGGUUCUACAGCUGCCCCUCUUUGCUCAUUACUGUGUUAACAGAAAUAGAACAAAGACUAUAAAAGGACCAAUUUUGCCCGGGCUCACCGAGUCUUGAGUUCUUGAUCCUUGAUCUUCUUUAAAUGGCCUCUUGACAGCUUCAAUCUGCUUCACUGCAACUUACAAAGGCGAUAUUUGCUAUCUUUGAUCUGCUCUCUGUCAAUACAGAUACGCCAAAUCCGUUAUCUUUGAUCUGUUCCCUAUAAGCACAGGGAUGCCAAAUCUGCUAUUUUCGAUCUGCUCUCUACCAACGCAGAGACGCCAAAUCUGUUUUAAUCUACUCUACUAUAACUUUAGAGAGAUAAGAUCCAUAAUUUAGCUUUAAUCUAUUCCACUGCAACUUCAGGGAAAUAAGAUUUGCUAUCAUCAGUCUGCUCCUCUGCAACUUCAGGGAGAUAAGACUUGUAACUUCGACCUACUCUACUGCAACUUCAGAGAGAUAAGAUCUGUAAUUUGAUCUUCUUCCGUUGAAACUUCAAAGAGAUCUGUUGUGGCUUUUAACCUAUUCCACUGCAACUUUAGGGAGAUGAGGUUUAUAAUCUUCGGCCUGUUGCCCUACUACUUAGGGUGUUGAGGCUUGUUUUCUUUGAUCUGCUCCACUGGAGACGAGGUCUGCAAUCUUGGGUCUACUCCACUACAACUUUAAGGAGCUAGGGUGGUGACUCAAAUCUGCUUCACUGCAACAUCAGGAAGCCUAGAUCCGCUGUCUUCGAUCUGCUCCACUGCAAUCUCAGGAAAAAUAGAUCUACAAUCUUCAACCUACUCCACUACAACUUUAGGGAGCUAGGAUGGUGGUUUAAAUCUGCUUCACUGCAACAUCAGAAAGCCUAGAUUCGCUGUCUUCGAUCUGCCCCUUGCAAUCUCAGGGAAACAAGAUCUACAAUAUUCAGCCUACUCCACUACAACCUUAGGGAGCUACGAUGGUAGCUUAAAUCUGCUUCGCUGUAACUUUAAGAAACCGAGAUUCACCGUCUUCGAUCUGCUCCACUGGAGACGAGGUCUGCAAUCUUGGGUCUACUCCACUACAACUUUAGGGAGCUAGGGUGGUGACUUAAAUCUGCUUCGCUGCAACAUCAAGAAACCUAGAUCCGCCGUCUUUAAUCUGCUCCACUGCAAUCUCAGGGAAACAAGAUCUACAAUCUUCAACUUACUCCACUACAACUUUAGGGAGCUAGGAUGGUGGCUUAAAUCUGCUUCACUGCAAUAUCAGGAAGCCUAGAUCCGCUGUCUUCGAUCUGCUCCACUACAAUCUCAAGAAAACAAGAUCUACAAUCUUCAACCUACUCCACUACAACUUUAGGGAGCUAGGAUGGUGGUUUAAAUCUGCUUCACUGCAACAUCAGGAAGCCUAGAUUCGCUGUCUUCGAUCUGCCCCUUGCAAUCUCAGGGAAACAAGAUCUACAAUCUUCAACCUACUCUACUACAACUUUAGGGAGCUAGGUUAGUGACUUAAAUCUGCUUCACUGCAACUUCAGAAAGUCAAGAUUCAUCGUCUUCGAUCUACUCUACUGCAACUUCAGGGAAACAAGAUCUGUAAUUUCAACCUACUCCACUACAACUUUAGGGAGCUAGGUUAGUGACUUAAAUCUGCUUUACUGCAACUUCAGGAAGUCAAGAUUCAUCGUCUUCGAUCUACUCCACUGCAACUUCAGGGAAACAAGAUCUGUAGGAUUCGCCAAUGUCACUACACUGUCUUCCAAAGACAUGAUUUGUAGAAUUGGUUUCCUGUAUCAAAUAAUUAGGAUGCCAUGAUCGAGAUGAAUCAUAUGUCCCUAACUAGAUGUGGUGUUUAUGUCAGAUAAUUAGAAUGGCAUGAUCGAAAUGAAUCAAGUGCUCCUAAAUGAAUGAUUAUGAAUGUGGAAAUGUUAUGAGAGUGAUUUCUUUUUGAAUGCUUAAGGCAUCAUUGUUCAUAAUUCGUCCGGGUUCCAUCAUUGAUGUGCUAUCGCGUCUCCUUGCUUAGCCAUUAUCUCUGACAGAAAAUUUGAAGAAAUAAUCCUAACCUGGACUACUCUUUUUCCAAUGUUUUCCAACUUUGAACCUGGUUAGUUCUGACUAGUGGCCCUGUUUCAGGUCCUUGUACUAUUUAGAGACUUUCCAGAGUAAUAUGCAUACCAUCUUUUAUGUAGAUAUUACAUGUCCAAAAAUUUUGAUUUUGACAAAAUGCUCGAAAGCGAUUAUCAUAAUGGACAAAUGGAAAUUUAUUAAGCAAAAUUUGAUGUGAAUAUAUAGGAUAACGAAUCUGGUAUGGUGCAAAAAAUGAGAAAAAGAUGCCUCAGACUUCGCAGCACGAGUUUCACUAUUCUAAUUUCUUAAAGGUUCUUUCGAACCAAAUGUGUGUUCAGCAUAUCCCGCGUAUGUUAUUGAUGCUCCCAGGUGUAACGUUCUUCUGUCUUGCUGAUUUCGGAAGGACCAUACUACCAUAUGCCCUAUGUUCAAAAUUUGAGCUGCCCAUUUUCGGGUUUUCAACUCAAAAGCCCCUUUGGUUCCAAAGUGCCCUUUUGCGGGUUUUCACCUUGGCCUCUCCCGUUUUUUUCUAUUUUUUUUAGAUUUCAGAGCGCCCUUUUCAGGUUUUCACUCUGACUGCCCUUUCUUCAGGUAAAAUACUUCUUGUCCGAAUCCGAUUUUACAGGAUUGGGCAAGUUUCUACCGUCUAUUUUGGCUAGAAUCAAUGCUCCUCCAGAGAAAGCUUUCUUCACCACGUAAGGCCCUUCCCAAUUAGGCAUCCAUUUCCCUCGAAAGUCUUUCUGUAUAGGAAGGAUAUUUUUCAAAACCAAGUCUCCUUUGUGGAAUUCUCUAGGGCGAACCUUUUUGUCAUAAGCCCGCAUCAUUCGCUUUUGGUACAUCUGACCAUAACGGAUAGCUCUUAACCUCUUUUCCUCAAUUAGGUUCAAUUGAUCAUAUCGAGACUGGAUCCACUCGGCUUCUUCUAACUUUAACUCAGAUAACACUCGGAGAGACGGGAUCUCGACUUCGAUCGGCAACACCGCUUCCAUUCCGUAGACCAAAGAGAAAGGGGUUGCCCCGGUUGAGGUUUUGACUGACGUUCGAUAAGCAAAGAGGGCAAAUGGUAACUUCUCAUGCCAAUCUCUAUAGGUCUCGGUCAUCUUCCCUACGAUCUUCUUAAUAUUUUUAUUGGCUGCUUCUACUGCCCCAUUCAUCUUCGGGCGAUACGGUGACGAGUUGUGAUGUCUGAUCUUAAAUUGAUUGCAGACCUCCGCUAUCGUACUGUUGUUCAAGUUUAAUGCAUUGUCAGAUAUGAUCCUCUCCGGCAUUCCAUAUCGACAUAUGAUCUCCUUUUUUAGAAACUUGCUUACUGCCGGCUUGGUCACGCUAGCAUACGAAGCGGCUUCUACCCACUUGAUGAAGUAGUCGAUAACCACAAAAAUGAACCGAUGCCCAUUAGAAGCUUUCGGUGAUAUUGGUCCUAUCACAUCCAUGCCCCACAUAGAGAAUGGCCAUAGAGAAACCAUGACAUGCAGCGGUGAAGGAGGCACAUGAAUUUUGUCUCCGUAGAUUUGACACUUAUGACAUCUCUUAGCGUAAUUGACACAGUCUUCUUCCAUGGUGGACCAAUAGUAUCCGAAUCUCAUAAUUUGCCUGGCCAUUGUAAAGCUAUUAGCGUGUGUCCCACAGACACCUUCGUGGACUUCUUCCAAAAUUUUCUUAGCCUCUACAGCGUCUACACAUCUUAGUAGCACUUGAUCCUUUCUUCUUCUGUACAGGAUAUCCCCAUCUAGGACAUAAUCGAUGGCCAAUCUUCUUAGCGUUCUUUUUUCGUUCUCGCUUGCCUGGUCCGGGUACUCACGUUUCUUCACGUAUUGCAAUAUAUCGUGAUACCAAGGGUGAUCAUCUUUCUCCUCGUCUUCUUCAAUAUUGUAACAGUGGGCCGAAACUUCAUAAAUGCUCAUCCGGAUGGGUUUGACAUCUUCUUGUUUGUUCACCCUGAUCAUGGAGGCUAAAGUAGCCAAAGCAUCAGCCAUCUGAUUUUCGUGUCGUGGAAGGUAGUGGAAGGUAAUGUCAUCAAACUCUUUAACCAGUCGAAGGACCAGCUUCCGAUAAUCAAUUAACUUGGGGUCUCUGGUCUCCCAUUCUCCCUUGAGUUGAUAAAUCACUAGCGCAGAAUCCCCAAACACCUCUAGCACUCUAAUCUUGUGUUCUAUGGCUGCGCGAAUACCCAUGAUGCACGCUUCAUAUUCCGCCAUAUUGUUUGUACAAUCAAAAUCCAAUUUACUAGUUAAUGGAUAAUGAUCUCCGUUUGAGGAUACCAAGACGGCCCCGAUUCCUUUGCCCACAGCAUUUGAUGCCCCAUCGAAGUUCAAUUUCCAAGGAAGUUCUUCCAGAGCACCUUCUUCAGCCAUAGCAAUACACAUUAGGUCUUCAUUCGGAAAGUCGAAGUUCAGCAGCUCGUAGUCUUCCAAAGCUCUACUCGCCAGAAAAUCUGCUAUUGCACUUCCUUUUACUGCUUUCUGGUUCACAUAGACUAUGUAGAAUUCAGAAAGCAGAAUCUGCCAUCGGGCCAUCAUUUCAUUCAAGGCUGUUGACUCUAUUAUGUACUUUAAAGGGUCUAAUUUUGAUAUGAGCCAAGUGGUGUGAUAUAACAUAUACUGCAUCAGUCUUCGGGUUGUCCAAAUUAGGGCACAACACUUCUCUAUCGGCGAGUACCUUGUCUCACAUUCCGUGAACUUUUUACUGAGAUAGUAAAUAGCUUUUUCUUUCCUCCCCGACUCGUCAUGCUGACCCAAUACGCAUCCCAUGGAGUUCUCAAAUGCUGCCAAAUACAGUAUCAAUGGCUUAUUGGGGUUAGGUGGCAUCAACACCGGGGCAUUGGAUAAAUACUGUUUGACCUUGUCGAAAUCCCUUUGGCAUUCUUCAUCCCAUUCACCUGGGUUAUGUUUCUUGAGGAGGCGAAAGACAGGGUCACAUUUCUCGGUCAGUUGUGAAAUGAACCGAGCAAUGUAAUUUAAUCUUCCUAGAAAGCCUCGAACUUCUUUCUGAGUGCGCGGCGGGGAUAGCUCUUGUAUGGCUUUAACUUUGUCUGGAUCAAUCUCGAUCCCUUUCUCACUAACCACGAAUCUGAGUAACUUUCCAGACUUGGCUCCAAAGGUACAUUUGGCGGGGUUGAGUUUUAGCUAAAACUUUCUCAACUUCAAGAACAAUUUUCCCAGGACUUGUAUGUGCUCCUUCUCUGUUCGAGACUUAGCUAUCAUGUCAUCAACAUAGACCUAGAUUUCUUUAUGCAUCAUGUCGUGAAAAAGAGUUACCAUGGCUCUUUGAUAAGUUGCCCCCGCAUUCUUCAGUCCAAACGACAUCACCUUGUAGCAGAACGUCCUUCACAUGGUUACAAAUGUGGUUUUCUCCAUAUCUUCACGAUGCAUCUUGAUCUGGUUAUAUCCCGAAAAACCGUCCAUAAAUGAAAACAGUGAGUGUCCUGCCAUGUUGUCCACUAGGGUGUCAAUAUGAGGUAGUGGGAAAUUGUCUUUUGGGCUGGCUUUAUUCAAAUCUCUGUAGUCCACACACAUUCACACUUUUCCAUCUUUCUUAGGGACAGGGACGAUGUUGGCUACCCAAUCUGAGUAUUUUACCACCUUCAGGAAUCCAGCGUCAAACUGCUUUCAAACUUCUUCCUUUAUUUUUAACAAGACAUCAGGCCUCAUUCUUCGGAGUUUUUGCUGAACAGGCUUACAUUCUUCUUUUAUGGGGAGUCGAUGAACCACGAUGUCAGUGUCUAACCCGGGCAUAUCUUGGUAUGACCAUGCGAAGACAUCUUUGAAUUCUUGAAGUAAUUCAAUGAGGUCUCGCUUCAUCUCCGCAGUGAUACAUGUUCCGAGCUUCACCUCUUGUCCUUCUCCUAAGCUCACAAUUUCGACUGAUUCUUUGUGAGGUAGGAUUUGUUUCUCGUCUUGUUCUACCAUCCUCAACAAAUCAGGAGAUAGGUUCCAGCCUUGGUCCUCUUCAAAAUCCUGAAAAUCAUCCAUACACACAUCUUGCUCGAAAGGAAAUUCUGAGUCGCUAGCAGUGUCACUCGUAUCAUUAAUAUCUGGGGACCUGUUAUGAGGACGAAGGCAGAUACAAAGAAUCAAAAGAAUUCGAAACAUUUAUUUGCGUGAUACGAUUAUGAAUGACGAAUAAAAGAAUAUUUAAAAGAAUGUUUCAAGAAUAAAAGAAUUCGAAAGUAAUCAUUUGUAUGGUUAUGAAUGGAAUUGAAAGGACGAGAUAACAUUUGCUCAAAAAUGAUAAUAACCGUACAUUUUACAGAAAUGUCAUUUUUAAACAUCGGCCUAUUUCACAAAAGAUUCUUAUUACUCCUAGGCCUAGAGCAAUAAGUGUGUUUUGUACAUUACUCUGAAUCCGUUCUAAAAACUACAGGAAUCUCUUCGGUAGUCCAGUUGUCCAGAACACUUCCAGGCGUGCAGAGGCAAAUGCUCGACAAAUUCUCUCUUUCGGUCUCCUCUUCGCAUAUGACAUUAAUGUCCAAGCUUUCCAACCUUUCUUCUAUAGCUCUCGUCAUUGGUGUGUCUCUCCUAGGAUGAAUGAUUCCCCCGGGCACAAAUGUUUUCGAUAUAUGGGGGAAUGUCAUUGGUUCCCACUUGAUUUCCUCCCCCGUUAAUCGAGCUCUUCUUCUUUCUUGCUUCUUUUCCAGCUCCCUUCUCCUUUGUUUCGCAUCCGACUUAAAUCCUAAACCGAAGCGGUCUCUCUUGUCAUUCGACAUUGGUGUUUCAACCCUUCAUUGCAGAUGUCUCCCAAGUCCCCUUCUGGGUAAGGCCCCUUUUCCAAUCAUCAGCUGGAGGCUCAUCCUCGUGGUUUUGGACAAUUUUGGCACCAGAAUUUUUCUUCCCUCGGCGAUGAAGGUCGCAUUAACAAAUUCCAAAGAUCGAAAUGAGCAUUCGAUUGCUUCGUCAUCUGUCUCCAAAUAGGGUGCAUUAUUGCUCACAGUUGCAAUAAUAUCCUCCUCAGCCUUGAUCGUUAUCAAUCUCCCUUCCGAUAUUAGCUUCAAUUUCUGAUGCAAUGAGGAAGGCACUGCCCCAGCAGAAUGUAUCCAGGGCCUUCCCAACAAGCAACUGUAUGAGGGCUUGAUGUCCAUUACGAGGAAAUCCACCUCAUAUGUGUUUGGCCCAAUUUGAAGAGGUACCUCGAUUCUACCCAUCACCCUUCUCUCCGUGCCAUCAAAUGCCUUUACGAUGUUCUGGCACUCCUUCAUGUGAGAGCUGUCUAUAGGUAAUCUAUUCAGCGUGGUCAAAGGCAGGACGUUCAAAGCCGACCCAUUGUCAAUUAGUACGCCUGGCAGCGUAUACCCUUUACAGCGCGUGGUGAUAUGUAGAGCUUUAGUCAACCCCAUGCCCCCGGGUGGUAUCUCGUCGUCAUUAAAGAAGAUAUAAUUGUCGGCACUUAUGUUGUUCACCAAACGGUCUAGUUUGUUAACGGAGAUGUCAUUGGAAACGUAUGUCUGGUUUAAGACCUUCAUUAGUGCGCUACGAUGAACUUUCGAGCUUAGAAGUAAGGCCAACACCGAAAUACGGGGGCCAACACCGAAAUACGGGCUGGUUGUUUACGUAGCUGUUCCACCACGCUGUAUUCGCUAUACUUCAGGAAUUUUAAAAACUCCUUGGCCUCCUCUUCAUUAACUGGCUCAUUAAUAGGUUUGGUUGCUUUUCCCUUCAUUUCCUCAAACACCCGGGCUUUUCCUUUUGUGGGCUGCACCUCCUCAUUCACUGUAUCGUAACGCCUCCCGCUACGUGUAUAGGAACCCUUGUCUUGGUCCCCUCUUGAAGCGUCAACCGGGCUCUCCUUUCCCGGCAUCGUCACACUGCAAUCAUAAUUCCAUGGGACCUUUUUACUGUCUUUGUAAGGGAAGACUACAAGUCUUUGGAUUAUAACCCUCGGUGGCAUUUGUACUUCGAUUUCAUUAUUUUUGGGUCUCGAAAUUAUCACUAUGGGAUAAUUAGGCGUUUGAUUUUGUGCCUUCGAUUCUCCCUCCGAUGCACAUAUAUCUCCCUCUACAGGGUUUUCGGUCUCUUCAUAGAAUUCAAUUUCUUUAUUGGUCAUCAUGUUUUGUACUAGGGCUCUGAACUCCAUGCAAUCUUAAAUUUCAUGCCCCACAUUGUCAUGAAACUCACAGUAGUUUCUCUCUUCUUCGUAUUCUUCCCUCGAAUCUAACACGAUCAAUCCUCUCUAGGCCAUCUCCUUCCAUACCCGCCUCAACGGGGUCCUGACUUCUGCCACCACAUACUUGGUCUUCUUAUUCAAGCCUUCACUUAUCCCAUUCACUCCUUGGUCGGUAUGAUUGGGGAGUGGGUUUCCUGCUACAUUGGGCGUGGCUGGGUCAUCAAAUCUCACAAUCCCCACCUUAAUGAGUCUUUCGACUACUUUCUUGAACGCAAUACAAUUCUCGAUUGAGUGCCCGGUAAUUCCUGCGUGGUAUUCACAUUGGGCGUUUGUGUCAUACCAUUUGGGAUACGGGGGCUGCAGUGGCUCUAGGUAGAAAGGGGAUACUACAUGAGCGUUGAACAGGCUCUGGUACAACUCCCUAUAUGUCAUGGGUAUAGGGGUGAAUUGUGGCCUUUCUGUGUUCUUCCUCAAAUUGGAUUCUUGUCUUACAGAGCUUUGUUGAUUGGUAGUCAUCGUUUUGGGUUGAUUCACGAUAAUUGACUUGGACUGCCCCUUGUUGAAUGUGCUCGUGUUGUUCACUUCAUUGUCCCUUUUCCUUGGGGUCGACUUUCUGGCACUUUCUCCCGACUCUAUUUUGCCGCUCCUCACAGCAUUCUCGAUCAUUUCCACCAUCAUCACUAUGUCAGAGAAGCUUUUUGUGGCGCUUCCUAACAUAUGGGUGAUAAAAGGGGCUUUCAAGGUGUUGAUAAAGAGCAUUGUCGUCUCCUUUUCUAGAAGUGGCGGCUGAACUUGUAUGGCCACCUCUCUCCACCUUUGUGCAUACUGUCUGAAGCUUUCAUUUGACUUUUUUUCCAUAUUCUGGAGAGUGAUUCUGUCAGGGGUCAUGUCUGUCACAUGAUUUUAUUGCUUCAUAAAGGCCUGAGCCAGGUCCUUCCAUGAGUUAAUCUUGGCUCGACUCAGUUGAUUAUACCACUUAGACGCCGCUCCAACCAGACUAUCUUGAAAGCAGUGGAUUAGUAGCUGGUCAUUGUUAACAUAUCCCGUCAUUCGCCUGCAGAACAUGGUGAUGUGGGCUUCAGGGCAACUUGUUCAAUUGUAUUUCUCGAAUUCAGGUAUUUUGAAUUUAGGGGGGAGGACUAAAUCUGGGACCAGACUCAGAUCUUUGGCAUCAAUCCCUUGAUGAUGAUCCGCGCUCUCCAUGGCUUUGAAUUUUUCCUCGAGCCAUCUACAACGUUCUUCCAAUUGUUUUUGUGAAUUUAUCCUCACCUUUUCCUCUUCAGCAGCUUCAUCCAAGUCGGGAACGGGCGGAUAGUUCGGGUUGUUGACAAAAUUAGAGCCUGAGCCGGCUUGGAAGUUUAUCGAAAUUGAAGCUCUGGCCUGAACUUGCUGGGGCAUGAUUGUGACCGAUGGUUUUUGUAGGUUAAUCUCGGGCUUCAUCGGUAUAUGCAUCAGAGUAAAGCCAGGGAGGUAUUGGAGAUCUUCAUUGGUUUCCUCAACUUGGUCCAUGGGGCCCUUUCCCUUAUCCAUUCCUCCCAGCAGUAAUUUGGAUAACUGGGCCAUCAUCUCUCUCUGAGACUCCAUCAUUUGCUCCUUCAUCUCUCGUUGAAUUUUGGCUAGCUGCUCUUCCAUCUAGGACUGCAUUUGUUCUUGCAUGUCAUUUUGCAUUUGCUCCAAUUUCUCGAGUCUCUUAUCCAUUGAUUUUUUUCUUGUAUCGUAGGGAUGCGUGGUUGGUUGGUUUUCGUUGGUUUCCAGGUUACUGAAAUAAUUUUUAAUUAAUUAAUUAGAAAACUCUUAUUGCCUUUAAUGCAUAAUGAUAUGAUGUAAUGCAAAUGCAUGAAUGUAAAGGAGGCAUCAAUUUUGACUUAAUUACCCUUAGAAAAUUUCACUCGAAAAUAAAAUCUUUUACAUAAAGUCGAAUUACAAAUAAAAUUUCGCUCUAACACUUAGAGUCUUAAUUUUUCUAAGCAACGAGGCCAGCUCUUGUUCGCGAUCCGACUCCAACUCAUACUUCACGCUCAGUAUGUCCGCUUGAACCGCUAAAGUUUGCAAGUAGUCUCUUACCUCUCGAAUUUGGGUUAUGGCUUCCCCCAUAAGGUAAUCUCUGUUUCUGACUUGGUUUUGUGCAUGGUGAAGCUGCUUUUUCUGACAAUCCUCGUUUGCCUCGAAAAACUGGAUCCGCAUCUCACAGUUCUGCAGUGAUGCCUCUAACUCUCCUAUUCUUCCUUUCAUCUCUUCUAUCUGGCUCAAGCUUACCCUCAGCUCUAUUGCGGUGUUGUGGUUUCGGUACUGAUGCAGAGACUUCUCGAGUUCUGCCACUCUAGCCCUUAGUUCACAUCGCUCGUUUCUGCUCUCCGACAGACUCUUCUCCAAAUCUUCGUUUCGUGCCUGAACUUCUCGAAAUUUUCUUUCCCACCGAUCGGUAUUGGCUUUUUCUUCUCGAAUUUCGUGGCGCCAUUGUUCUGAAGUCUUACCUAAACCCGCAGUCCUCAUAGAUAGGCGCAGCUUCUUGUAGUCUGUCUUCAAGCUGUUUAGGUCUUCUUCAGCCUUAGUUUUUCCUUUUCUCCAUUUCUCAGCCUCUGACCUCUGAACAUCAGCGUCUAAUCUUAGAUGCAUCUUCUCUUCUUCUAACUGUUCGAUCUUCUUCCCAAGCUCUGAACUCUUCUUCUUGAAAUCUUGCCUUAUAAUUUCCAAUUCUGAUGGGGCAACUUGUAAUUGUUCCUCGAUAGGUUGAGCAUUCUCCAAGCUUGGCCUAGGAAUAUUAUCAUUAAUCCUCUUCUUAAACCACUUGCUAUACUCGGGCAUUACCAUGGAACCGACGGCUAACCUCUUCAUCCAACAAGUUUUCUUCCAAGCAUCCGAUAACUCCUGAACUCUCUUCUUAUAAUGAGCACCUUUAAAUGAGAAUUCACUCUGAGCAAGCCCAUAGAUCGUGGGUACAAACUGCCUUGACUUAUAUUGCCUCAAGGCUAACAGCGGAGUAUACCCAGUAGCUCCCCAAAUUCCUAACAAUGGCACCCAACCAAAGCUACCACAUCGGUACAUGAUCUCGUCAGGAACCAUCCAAUAAGCUCUCCACUUGAUAUCCCCCUCCUUGAGGUUCUAAAGAAUGUCCAUCCACUUCUCCUCUAAGAUAUCAUCUCUCCUCUGUAUAGCUGCCUCUUCUUUCAACGGGGAAUAACCCUCGGAGAAGACUCGAUAGGAAACUUUAUCUACCUUUCAAAAGUGCCCGUAGAACCAUGCCAUCAAUAAUUGCACGCAUCCAAUGAAUCGCCCCUCGCCUAUCUUCCGACAUGAGCUCAAAGAUCUGAAUGUUUCUGCCAAUAUUGUCGGUACCGGUGUGAUUCCCUUUUCAAGGCGAUCAAACAAGUCAAUGAUCGCCUUGUCCACGUGCCUCAAAGCCUUAGGAAAUAUCACUAAUCCGUAGAUGCUUAAGGCAAAUAUAUCAACCCUCUUUCUUUCAUCUGGAUGUGUCAAGAUCAAAUCUCGCAAAUUCUCCCAAGGGAUACAUUUGCUAUCUCUUUUUUGCUGAAUCCGAGCAGUGACCCAAGGCUCGCUCAUCCCAGAAAUGCUAAUCAGUUUCUUCACGAAAGUCUGACUACUAAAAACUCGAGCAUAAGUCUUCUGGACCUGAAUUUUGGGACACCUGAGCAAAGUAGUGUAUUCCUCCAUGGUAGGUACCAAAUCCACUUCUCCAAAAGUAAAACAUUUGUAUGCAAAAUUCCAAAACUGCACCAAGGCUCGGAACAAAUGCUUAUCCACUCUAAUAUCUAGCAGGUAGGAUACGUCACCAUAAUUUUGGUAAAACAAUUGCUUGAUUCCUUCAUUCCAACUAGCCCAAAUGUCUCUCAACUCUUGCAGCUCGUUCUGUACUACAUUGACGAGAGUGAAAUCUUGCAGUUCCGAUACAUACCCUUCUGCCAAGCUAUCCCCUCUCUCUGAUUCUAGCCUCUUCGACCAUGCACGAACGGUCGCAUUAUCCUCGACUUUACUAAAAAAUUCAUUCUCCAUGUCAAAUUUUCUAACUUAGUAAUUGAAUACGAAUUAACGCCUCCUUUAGUAUGUAAUGUUAUGCAAAAAUGACAAAACAAAACACCGGUUAGUGUCAAAUAAUAGCGAUAGAAUGCAAGCACAUAAACGAUAACUAUGAUGCAUAUACGAGUAAGUACUAAGGCUCGACGUGGCUUCACCCAAGGAUGGUUCCUAAGGUUCACUAUAUGCGGUUUAGUUCUAGAGAUAAGGUACCCGAACCAAUAGAUUCCUCAAUCCUCACCCAUUAUAGGCUCAUAUAGAUCGAGUUCGGUUCAAGGGAAUACAUUUCCCUAUGACCAUGCGGAGAUGAAAAUCUCACGAAAUCAUAGGUACGGAUGUACCCCGGAAGUAAUCCACUAGCCCAUGCGGAGGUGAAAACCUCACUAAAGCGUAGUUUCUUACUCCCACUUAAAAGGUGUGACCACAGUGGUCAUGCAAUGAAAUGCAGUGCUAUUUUACAAGACCCGCACUAAGACAAUCACACAAUCAAAUGCAAUCGAAAGAUAUAUGAUUUUUAAAGUAAAUUUUCGAUUUUCGAUAAAAAGACAGUAAAUAAUUGAUUUUUAUGGCUCGACUCUCAUUCGUCCCCAGCGGAGUCGCCAAGCUAUCGAAACCAUUUUUUCAUUUCGAUUUAAAAAUAAUGGAUUGACUUUUUGGAAAGUGAAAAUGGAGUCGCCACCAAUCUUUUCUUGUUUAGGUGUGAUCGGAUCACCUAAAAAUUUGGGUUGUUUUAAUAAAACAUUUUUAGUUUACCAAAACAACGGUUCUGGUCUACGAAAAUUUUAGAAAAUGGGCUCGGGAGUCGGUUACGUAUGAGGAAGGGUUAGCACCCUCACUACGCCCAAAAUUGGUACCAAAUCGAUUAAAUAUUGUCCUUAUGUCUAAAAUUGAAAUGUUUUUGAAAUGUGGUUCUUUUUUAAUAACAUUUGAAUAACCUGAGUUGGUUACCAAAAAUCUUCCUGUUUUGACAUCCGAAAAUUUAUAAUUAUAAAAUCAUAAAAGGAUGCUCAACUAUUUAGUCCAAUGAAAAAUCGAAACCCAGCACAGUAGGGCACGAUUCCUCGAAUUUCCAAACAUGACCAUUGCCUCACCUUGGAAAAUACAAGUGAAAUUUCGGAGAGAUAUUCGAUUAUUUUGGACAAACGGGAGAUUGCAGCCCAGCACGAUAGGGCACUAUUCCCCGAACUGCCAAACAUCGAACACUUCUUUCGUUUUAAAGGGUUUUUAGAAAAUGUGAAUGAAAUUUCGAAGGAAUCUUCGAUUGUUUAGAACAAAUGAAAAAGCGCAACCCAACACGAUAGGGCACGAUCCUCAAAUCGCCGAACAUCGAACAUCCUUUGUAUUGAAAGGUUUUUAAUAAACAUGAGUGAAAACCUAAAGGAAUAUUCGAUUAUUUUGAGCAAACGAGAAAUUGCAACCCAACACGUUAGGGCACUAUUCCGCGAAUUGCCAAAUAUUGAGUCUCGUCUUCAUGAUAAAUAAAAUAUAAUAAGUAUAAUAAACUAUAUUUAAAAUUAUUAUAAAAUAUGUAUAUAAAAAGAAAUAGUACAGAAAAAAAAUGAUUAUUAGUAAAACAAAAAUAAUAUAACAAGUAAUGUGAUACAUAUAAUGACAAUUUGUACAUAAAAUAAUUAGUUUUAUUUUAAAUAUAUAUAUGAAGCAUAUAACAAAUAUAUAAAUAAAUAAAUAAUAUAAUAAUGUGAAACUUAACUCCAGUUGAUUAAAUUAGAUGAAAAGAAAUAAGAAAUAAUGAAAAUGAUAUAAUAAGUAUAAUAAAUAAUAGUGUAAAAAAUAGUAUAAUAAAUAAUAGGAAAAUAAUUUAAAAAAUGAUAAUAAAAAAUAGUAAUAUUAGAUUAAUAAUAAUACCAAAAAAUUUUGUGAUAAAAGUGUCUAAAAUAAAAAAAAUAGGGCUUAAUUGAAUUAAAAAAUAAAAUUCUGGAGUGAAAACAGAAUAAAAGGAUACAAGGGGACCAAAAUGCACACGUGGGUAAGGAGGGAGGGAUCUGGGCGCAAAUUUCCGGGGUAAUUUGAAAGCAUUUAAAGAAAACAAAAAAAGGACUUGAUUGAACGUAGGCACCCAGGACAGGGACUAAUCGCGAAAAUUUCCCAUUUAAAAGAAAUGUGCACAUUUCCAUCCCUUAAUGCACGGUCAGCUUUUCCCCUUCCUAAGGCUUUACUUUUGAGGGGAAAAAAAACAAAUGAAGCCUACUUUUUUAUUUUUUUAUUUUUAAAACAUUGAACACCCCUUUUUGAAAACUAAAAAAAAUAAAAACAAAAAUUACCCAUCACCUCUCUUAUUUUCCUUAAAAAAAAACAGAGAGAAAGCUCCCAAAUUUUCUCUUAGGCCUGCGCCACCCUCAUCGGAGAUCGGCGAGCCAAGGUCGCUAGUUCGUCGGUAAGUCCCCUCUCUCCCUCUCUUUUUUUUAAAAAAAAAAACUGUUUUUAAAAAAAAUUUGAAAAGGAAACAGAACAAACGAAAUCCAAAUCAAGAGAAAAUUCCAAAAAAAAAGAAAAAUCACCUUUCAAAACUUAGUUCCGAUUCUUGAUUUAUUCUUGAACUUUGUAUUAUCUCCGAAAAAUAUAUAUAUAUCCCCCCAAAAUACAAUCGAUUCCUCUCUAAAAAUCCCCCCUAAAAUACAAUCCCUUCUCCCCUCGAAAUAUCAAAAAAAAAUCCCCCUUUUUUGUGAUCGAUUUUGGCUUUUUAAAGCCGAUCUACAAAACAUUCAUUUCCUAUUUUUUGUUUUCGUUCUUUUGUUUAUUCUUUCCCCCAUCCCUCGCAUGCUUUCUUUUACUGUUGUUUUUGUCUCUGUUGCAGGUGUGUCAGGUGUGGGUGGUGCACGUGAUGGCCAAGGGCAGAGGUAGCAUGGGGCAACUGAAUCUUGGGGACAGAGGGAGGAGCGGCUAGUUUUUUUCUUUUUUGUUUGCUGAAAAUUAGUUAAGGUUGUGGGCUGAUUGGGCUUUUAGGGUUUUAAUUUUUUUUGGGCUGUAAUUGGGUUGGAUAGGUUUGGGUUUUGGGUCAUGGACUAUUAAUUAUUUUUAUCUUGGUUUAUGGUUUAUGGGCCCCGGGCAAAAUUUGGGUUCUACACUAAUAUUAUUAAUACUAUUAUUUCUAUUAUUAUUAUUGUUAUAAUUAAUAUUCUGGUUAUUAACAUAUUAUUAUUUUUAAUGUAUUAUUAUUACUAGUUAUUACUAUUUCUAGUAUUAUUAUUAUAUAUAAUAUUAGUGUAUGUUUUAUUAUAUAUGUAUAUAUAUAUUUAUACAUGGUAUUAUUUUCAAUUACUUUAUUUCAAUAUUUUUAUUAUGUUAUAUUUGUUUUUUUUUUGUUAAUG